rnacentral:rRNA from 1 species
UAAGGAAUAUUGGUCAAUGGACGCAAGUCUGAACCAGCCAUGCCGCGUGGAGGAUGAAGGUCCUCUGGAUUGUAAACUUCUUUUAUCUGGGACGAAAACGGGAUUUUUAUCUCAAUUGACGGUACCAGAGGAAUAAGCACCGGCUAACUCCGUGCCAGCAGCCGCGGUAAUACGGAGGGUGCGAGCGUUAUCCGGAUUUACUGGGUUUAAAGGGUGCGUAGGUGGGCUUAUAAGUCAGUGGUGAAAUCUCCGAGCUUAACUUGGAAACUGCCGUUGAUACUAUAGGUCUUGAAUUAUCUGGAGGUAAGCGGAAUAUGUCAUGUAGCGGUGAAAUGCUUAGAUAUGACAUAGAACACCAAUUGCGAAGGCAGCUUACUACAUAUAAAUUGACGCUGAGGCACGAAAGCGUGGGGA